AUUGAACGCUGGCGGCAUGCUUUACACAUGCAAGUCGAACGGUAACAGGCCGCAAGGUGCUGACGAGUGGCGAACGGGUGAGUAAUGCAUCGGAACGUGCCCAGUCGUGGGGGAUAACUACUCGAAAGAGUAGCUAAUACCGCAUACGAUCUAUGGAUGAAAGCGGGGGACCGUAAGGCCUCGCGCGAUUGGAGCGGCCGAUGCCAGAUUAGGUAGUUGGUGGGGUAAAGGCUCACCAAGCCAACGAUCUGUAGCUGGUCUGAGAGGACGACCAGCCACACUGGGACUGAGACACGGCCCAGACUCCUACGGGAGGCAGCAGUGGGGAAUUUUGGACAAUGGGCGCAAGCCUGAUCCAGCAAUGCCGCGUGCAGGAAGAAGGCCUUCGGGUUGUAAACUGCUUUUGUACGGAACGAAACGGCUCUGGUUAAUACCCGGGGCUAAUGACGGUACCGGAAGAAUAAGCACCGGCUAACUACGUG
rnacentral:rRNA from 1 species